rnacentral:rRNA from 1 species
GACGAACGCUGGCGGCGUGCUUAACACAUGCAAGUCGAACGGAAAGGCCUGCUUUCCCUUGUGGUUUGCUGGUACUCGAGUGGCGAACGGGUGAGUAACACGUGAGUGAUCUGCCCCCAACUUGGUUAUAAGCCUGGGAAACUGUGUCUAAUUCCCGAUAGGACUGCAGGGUGGUGCCUGUGGUGGAAAACGAUUUUCUAGUGGUUGGGGAUGAGCUCGAGGCCUAUCAGCUUGUUGGUGGGGUAAUGGCCUACCAAGGCGGAGACGGGUAGCCGGCCGGGGAGGGUGGACGGUGACAUUGGGACUGGGACCAGGCCCAGACGGGUGCGGGAGGUAGGAGUGGGGAAUAUAUGAGAGUGAGCGGGAGCGUGCAGCAGCGACGGCGCGUGGGGGAUCUCGGCAUUCGGGUUGUAUGCUCCUUGCGACCGAGAGGAAGCCACCUGGUUGGAAGGGUGGUGACGGUAGUGGUAGAAGAAGCACCGGCUAACUACGUG